rnacentral:rRNA from 1 species
ACCAGACUCCUACGGGAGGCAGCAGUAGGGAAUCUUCCACAAUGGGGGAAACCCUGAUGCAGCGACGCCGCGUGAGUGAAGAAGUAUUUCAGUAUGUAAAGCUCUAUCAGCAGGGAAGAAAUAGCGACCUUUGGGUCGCCAGACGGUACCUGACUAAGAAGCCCCGGCUAACUACGUGCCAGCAGCCGCGGUAAUACGUAGGGGGCAAGCGUUAUCCGGAUUUACUGGGUGUAAGGGGAGCGUAGACGGCAGCACAAGUCUGAAGUGAAAUGCCGGGGCUUAACCCCGGAACUGCUUUGGAAACUGUGCAGCUAGAGUGCAGGAGAGGGAAGUGGAAUUCCUAGUGUAGCGGUGAAAUGCGUAGAUAUUAGGAGGAACACCAGUGGCGAAGGCGGCGUACUGGACUGUAACUGACGUUGAGGCUCGAAAGCGUGGGGAGCAAACAGGAUUAGAUACCCCAGUACAU